UAUUAACCUUUGAGCAGGCUAGUAAUGUUUGUUAGUAUUUUAGAGAAUCAGUGGUUGGUGUAAACUGAUAUGCUAUAUUCAUGAAUCCACCUGUGAGGGACUGUGAUUAAGCAGUACGGUUUUAACCGUUAUAAUUUUUGAGCGGAUGGAUUUUUUAAUCUAUCAAUUAGGGUGGCAACGCGGAGUUUUUCGUCCCUUUG
rnacentral:ncRNA from 1 species